AGCAGCCGCGGUAAUUCCAGCUCCAAUAGCGUAUAUUAAAGUUGUUGCAGUUAAAAAGCUCGUAGUUGAAUUUCGGGGUUAGUAGGCUGGUCGUGCCACAGGUAUGCACUGGUCUUACUGAUUCCUCCUUCCUGAUGAACCGUAAUGCCAUUAAUUUGGUGUUGCGGGGAGUUCUGGACUGUUACUUUGAAAAAAUUAGAGUGUUUAAAGCAGGCUAACGCUUGAAUACAUUAGCAUGGAAUAACGAAAUAGGACGUUCGAUCCUAUUUUGUUGGUUUCUAGGAUUGACGUAAUGAUUAAUAGGGAUAGUUGGGGGCAUUAGUAUUCAAUUGUCAGAGGUGAAAUUCUUGGAUUUAUUGAAGACUAACUACUGCGAAAGCAUUUGCCAAGGAUGUUUUCAUUAAUCAAGAACGAAAGUUAGGGGAUCGAAGACGAUCAGAUACCGUCGUA
rnacentral:rRNA from 1 species